AAAUGAUCCUCCCACCUCAGCCUCCCAAAGUGCUGAGAUUACAGGUAAACCAUAGUGCCCGGCUAACUUCACCUUAAAUGCAGAAGUUGAUUUCUAGCAGUCAUUGUAUGCUGUUAACUUAGGAAGCACAAAUCAGCAGUUCCAGAGAUAACUGCUGUCAAGUUUUGAGGUUUGAAAAAUUAAGAGGCCCAAGACCUUGGACCUACACUAACUUGGUGACCAUGUAGCAGCAUCUAUGUAAUUUGGCUGUUUUUAGAGGCUAGGUCC
rnacentral:lncRNA from 1 species